rnacentral:miRNA from 1 species
CCUGAGACCCUAGUUCCAC